rnacentral:sRNA from 1 species
ACUGGGCAUGGUUGUGCAUGCCUGUAAUCCCAGCAACUGGGAAGGCUGAGGCAGGAGGACCGAAAGUUCAAAGCCAGCCUCAGUAAAAGCAAGGUGCUAAGCAACACAGUGAGACCCUGUCUCUA